UACGGAGGGAGCUAGCGUUGUUCGGAAUUACUGGGCGUAAAGCGCGCGUAGGCGGCAAUUCAAGUCAGCUGUGAAAUCUCCGGGCUUAACUCGGAACGGUCAGCUGAUACUGCUUUGCUAGAGUGCAGAAGGGGCAAUCGGAAUUCUUGGUGUAGCGGUGAAAUGCGUAGAUAUCAAGAGGAACACCUGAGGUGAAGACGGGUUGCUGGGCCGACACUGACGCUGAGGCGCGAAAGCCAGGGGAGCAAACGGG
rnacentral:rRNA from 1 species